AAUGCAGUUGUUAUACAUUUAAAUUUUGAUUUGAAUGCAGUUGUUAUGCAUUUUAAAUGUGAUUUGAAUGCAAUUGUUAUGCAUUUAAUUUUUUUAUUAAUGCAGUUAUGCAUUAAAAUUUUUAUAUUAAUGCAGUUGUUAUGCAUUGAAAAUUGUAUUUUAAUGCAAUUGUUAUGCAUUUUAAAUGUGAUUCAAAUGCAAUUGUUAUGCAUUUAAAUCUUUAUUUGAAUGAAAUUAUGCAUUUUUAUUUUAAUCUUAAUGCAAUUAUUUAUUUAUUCAAAUUAAUAUGAAUAACAAUUGCACAAAAUGAAAUGAGAAACUGAAAUAUUUGUUUCUCCAUGCAUUUUUCUUCUCUCUGUAAAGAAGGAAAAAAGUGCUUUACAGCAUCAGUUGCAUUUAAACUCGUUUGAAAUAUACACACAGUUCAGUGAAAAAAAAAAAAAGUUUUUCACAAUGCAGUCUUUAUUAUGUUUUUUACAGAAACGGUCUAAAUGGCUUCAGAUAUAAGACAGUCGACAUCUACGAGAUGGUGGCAGCCGCCAUUUUGUGAUGUGCUUGGCCUCAGAGAGUGAGCGGCCGAGUCCACCUUGACCCGCAGCCCACGCCGGUGCAGGGCCAGGCCAAAAACCUGCUGGAUUUGCCAAUUGGAAGUACUGACCUACGACUUACCCGUUCCCGAUGCAUUCGGACAGGGGAUUCCGGAGUGAAGCUGCUCCACUCUGGGACAGGUGCCAAUUGCUCACAAAAGGCGAGUGAAAAUAUCAGUGAUCUGCACAAGGAAACGUCGGGGGUGAGUGGAAAAUGCAAACUCGCAUGCAUCCGUGCAACUAACGCAGAAAAAAGUGAAGGAUGGUUGCGAGGGGAGGGGAAGACACAGAAAAAGAGGAUCGUGAAAGAAGAGGUGGGGGCGUUUAUUCAAGCCUGUUUGAUGCUCCUCGGGCCUUCGAGAGCCGAUCGCAUGUGCCGUGGUAACUGCGGGACCAUUUGCAUGUGGCAGACACGCUAAUUGUGUGUUUGCUAACACGCACCAUUCAGCGAGACGCGCUCCGGUCCACAGACGGUGUUCACACACGCCUCCCAGACGCCUCGGAGGCCUUCUAUUGUUCCAGAGGCCCAGCCGAACAGCCG
ensembl:lncRNA